rnacentral:rRNA from 1 species
AUUGAACGCUGGCGGCAGGCCUAACACAUGCAAGUCGAGCGGGAACUUCGGUUCUAGCGGCGGACGGGUGAGUAAUGCGUAGGAAGCUACCCGACAGAGGGGGAUACCAGUUGGAAACGACUGUUAAUACCGCAUAAUGUCUACGAACCAAAGUGUGGGACCUUCGGGCCACAUGCUGUCGGAUGCGCCUACGUGGGAUUAGCUAGUUGGUGAGGUAAUGGCUCACCAAGGCGACGAUCCCUAGCUGGUUUGAGAGGAUGAUCAGCCACAUUGGGACUGAGACACGGCCCAGACUCCUACGGGAGGCAGCAGUGGGGAAUAUUGGACAAUGGGCGGAAGCCUGAUCCAGCAAUACCGCGUGUGUGAAGAAGGCCUGAGGGUUGUAAAGCACUUUCGUUUGGGAGGACGAGAUUUAAACAAAUAAUUUAGAUGGAAGACGUUACCAAAAUAAGAAGCACCGGCUAACUCUGUGCCAGCAGCCGCCGUAAAAC